GGUUCAAUUUUCAAAGACAAUUGUUGGGGUUUACUUUUUCAUUUCUGUUUUGAUGGAGUAGAAUUUUGCAAGAAAUGCAAUACUGUAGAAGUACAUAUUUUCAUUGGGUCAAAAUUUUGUUGUUUAAAAACCAAAUAAAAUUUCGUUGACAUUUAAUUUCGUCAUAUUAUAUUCUCUUUGCAACUGUUAAUACCUGGGUGAAAAAAUUCGUCAUGGAUUUAAUUUUCAUGAUUUAUACUGCCAACAAAUAAAAUGAAAUUAAAUCCUCAACAAAUAUUUCCGCUUCUACAGUAUUGCAUAGAUUGAGGAAACCCAUUUUUAUAAAAUAUAAUUUUAUGAGAGAAUUUUUCAAUUUAGCCUAUUAAAAUUGUGUAAAGAUGCCUGUAAUUAGUACAAGCUACAUAAUGCUUUUUAUAAAAUUAUUUAAAUGAUGUUGUUAGAUAAGCAGAUUGUCAAUAGGGAAUAUUUGGUUUUGUAAAGCCACAAUUCUUUGUUCCAUGUUCAUUUUUAUGCUAUACUUUGUAUGUGAUAUUUCUAAAAAAAAACACAAACGUUCCACUGCAGUGCUUUUUGAAUAUUUAAAGUGGCUAAACUUUUGUUCUGUUAACAAAAAAGAGAGAAAAAACUAAGAACAAACUGCGCAAUUGUUUUUUGUUACAUUGUUGUUUUGUUGUUGUAUCCAGUAUUGACCAUUAAGCAGAGUUGCUCCCCUUGAAUUGCGCACAAAGAUGUAGAAAUAUAUUGGACAGAUAUUUACAUGUUCUUGUUUCAUAUAAAAUGUGAUUUUGAGAGAAAAGGUAUUACUGAGCACUCCAUUCUCUGUCGUCCUCCAUUCAUGAUACUUUUUUUUUCUAUGUUUGACAAUGGUAAAAUUGAUGUUAGUGAUUGUUACGGUAAAUUUGUCUUACUCUAUAUCUGACCAUUGAAAUGCAUUAUUUUCAAGACUUUUCUCUGGAAUAUUACCGGUAAGGGUGUCACUGGAACUAUUUUUGAAUUGGAGCUUACUUAUGAUGCCUUAGUACAUGUAUUCUGGGAAGUGACUGAAACUUUGGGGCACUAUUUUACAAGGAAGCAUUUAUUUUCUGGUUAAUCUACAAGCUACACACAAGUGAAAGCUGUGAUAUAUUUUUGUUUAUAUUUUUCACAUUUUAAAUAGAUUUUAUGAGUUAACAUGUUAUUGGAUUAUUAUUGUUGUGAAUGAUUAUAUUGAUCACUGUUUUCAUCCUGUAUGCCCAUCAGUUUUCUAUUUAAAUAAACAAAGAAGAGAU
rnacentral:sRNA from 1 species